GGGUAAUCCCGCCUCUUUGUUGCGGCGGAGUUAAAGGCCUUUAUAGAAACGCCGUCACUACCGCCGACCGUCAGGGAGCAUGCAAUUGUCUUAAAAAACUCACCGGCUCCACCUCUUACCCAAAUGCCCCUGGAAUCCCUGCCAAAUGCGGUGUUUCUAUACCAUACAAGAUCGCCCCCUCCACAGACUGCACCAAGGUCACUUAAGCCGAUCGAUUUAGGAACAUCGCCGACACGAGUUUGAGUUCACAACCUACGUCGACGCAAAGGUAUCUAAUUUUCCUAUUAUUUUGAGAAUAAAAGAUGUAUGUGGGUCAUCGUGGCCCCCCUCGUUUACUACUGUUAUUGUACUCAAUUAGUUAUCUAACCUAUAUAGCUACCAGCUCAUACAUAUGAUAUAUAAUAUUGAAGUUGCAUGCAUGCUUUUGAUAUGUUAAUGAAUAAUGAAAUUUUCAUUUUA